GACGAACGCUGGCGGCGUGCCUAACACAUGCAAGUCGAACGGAACUAUUUUGACUGAUUCCUUCGGGAUGAAGAAUUUUUUAGUUUAGUGGCGGACGGGUGAGUAACGCGUGAGUAACCUGCCUCUGAGAGGGGAAUAACGUUCUGAAAAGAACGCUAAUACCGCAUAACACAUAUUUGCCGCAUGACAGAUAUGUCAAAGAUUUUAUCGCUCGGAGAUGGACUCGCGUCCGAUUAGUUAGUUGGUGAGGUAACGGCUCACCAAGACCGCGAUCGGUAGCCGGACUGAGAGGUUGAACGGCCACAUUGGGACUGAGACACGGCCCAGACUCCUACGGGAGGCAGCAGUGGGGGAUAUUGCGCAAUGGGGGAGACCCUGACCCAGCGACGCCGCGUGAGGGAUGAAGGUUUUCGGAUCGUAAACCUCUGUUGUACGGGAAGAAGGAGUGUGACGGUACCGGUACGAGAAAGACCCCGGCCAAACCUAACGUGCCACGCAGCCGCGGUAAACGUAACGUCUACGU
rnacentral:rRNA from 1 species